rnacentral:tRNA from 1 species
CUGUAUUUUAAAUUAAAAUACGUGUUUUGCAUGCACGAGAUUUUGGCUCUAUUUC